rnacentral:lncRNA from 1 species
CCAUGUUAUCUGUCAUCCUGAAGCAGCUGAAUUGAUAAAAUGAUGGAACGGCCUUUUGAAGUCACAAUUACAAUGCCAACUAGGUAACAAUACUUUGCAGACCUGGGGUAAAGUUCUCCAGAAGACUGUGUAUGCUCUGAAUCAGCAUCCCAUAUAUGGCACUGUUUCUCCCAUAGCCAGGACUCACGGCUCCAGGAUUAAAGGGAUGGAAGUGGAAGUGACACCACUCACCAUCAUCCCCAGUGAUCUACUAGCAAAAUUUUUGCUUCCUGUUUCCAUGACAUUACAUUCUGCUGGCCUAGAGUUCUUAGUUCCAGAAGGAGAAUGCUGCCACCAGGAGACACAACAAUGAUUCUGUUAAGCUGGAAGUUAAGAUUGCCACCUGGAAACUUUGGGCUCCUCUUACCUUUAAGGCAACAGGCUAAGAAAGGAGUUACAGUGUUAUCUGGGGUGAUUGACCAGGACUGUGAAGAUGAAAUCAGUCUACUACUCCACAACGGAGUGAUCAUUCAACACCUGACCUAGAGGAAUUCAGAAUUCAGCGGGGGUACAUUCUCAGCUGGAAAAACUAUGUGCCCUGGAGGACAUUGAGGUAAAGAUGGAGAUGGUCAAGGGGUUACCGCCAGUCUGUUUCUUGCGCUGAUAAUUUUUCUAGACAUUAAAUCUCACCAUUUGUUCCCAACAAAGAAAGAAAGACAGGACCACCAGACUCUACAGGGUGAUCUGACACUAACAACUUAACAACCAUUCUACUGAGUCAACAAAUUUCUCCUCUGUGUACAGACUUCAACCGAAGAAUCUAAUACUACUGUGAAGUGCUGCUGGGCAGGACACACGUUCAGGAGACACAGUAGGGGAACAGAUGAGGCCAGAGUGGCCCACAGCCGGGGUGAAGAGCCCCCAAUUAUUUAUAAAGUGUUUGCUGCCUCAUUUAUGAAAAUAAAUAGUGCAAAGCUGUUACAAGUAUUACAUUUUUACAUCAAAUUAAACAUUUCAAAAUUAGUGUCACAGCUUCUCCUGGGAGCAACUUUUGAGGGGCUUUUUAUCCAAUAACAGCAAAAUGGUUAUUUAGAGAAUAGACCUAGAAUGUUUCUUAAAUGGAAAGCACACCCAGCAAUAAAGUCACCUGUUCCUUACAGCCGACUUGGGUUUGUACUGCCACUCCACCCAUCCCCAAAUGGACAGGGAACUUCGAUCCAUUGAGCCACCACUGUCCUACUGUCCCUCCCUGCCAAGUGUAGAUCACAAGGACUAAAGGCUGCAGCCUCUCUUCUGCAAACACUCUUCACCUUGUUCUCCUCUUAUUUCUUAGCACUGUUCUGGCAAAACCCCAAUCUUGAUCAUAAUCGUCCCUCCC